rnacentral:rRNA from 1 species
AUUGAACGCUGGCGGCAGGCCUAACACAUGCAAGUCGGACGGUAGCACAGGGGAGCUUGCUCCUCGGGUGACGAGUGGCGGACGGGUGAGUAAUGUCUGGGGAUCUGCCCGAUAGAGGGGGAUAACCACUGGAAACGGUGGCUAAUACCGCAUAAUGUCGCAAGACCAAAGAGGGGGACCUUCGGGCCUCUCACUAUCGGAUGAACCCAGAUGGGAUUAGCUAGUAGGCGGGGUAACGGCCCACCUAGGCGACGAUCCCUAGCUGGUCUGCGAGGAUGACCAGCCACACUGGAACUGAGACACGGUCCAGACUCCUACGGGAGGCAGCAGUGGGGAAUAUUGCACAAUGGGCGCAAGCCUGAUGCAGCCAUGCCGCGUGUAUGAGGAAGGCCUUCGGGUUGUAAAGUACUUUCAGCGGGGAGGAAGGCGAUGUGGUUAAUAACCGCGUCGAUUGACGUUACCCGCAGAAGAAGCACCGGCUAACUCCGUGCCAGCCGCCGCCGUAA